UACGUAGGGUGCAAGCGUUAAUCGGAAUUACUGGGCGUAAAGCGUGCGCAGGCGGUUCCGUAAGAUAGAUGUGAAAUCCCCGGGCUUAACCUGGGAAUUGCAUUUGUGACUGCAAGGCUAGAGUACGGCAGAGGGGGAUGGAAUUCCGCGUGUAGCAGUGAAAUGCGUAGAUAUGCGGAGGAACACCAAUGGCGAAGGCAAUCCCCUGGGCCUGUACUGACGCUCAUGCACGAAAGCGUGGGGAGCAAACAGG
rnacentral:rRNA from 1 species